UAACGUAACGGGGGUCCGUACCAUGCAAGUCGAACGAGAAAGUCCGCUUCGGUGGAUGAGUAAAGUGGCGAACGGGUGAGUAACGCGUGGGUAACCUGCCCCUGAACCUGGAAUAACUUCGCGAAAGCGAGGCUAAUACCGGAUAUUGUCCCAGGGACUUUGGUCCUUGUGAUGAAAGAUGACCUCUUCACGAAAGUUGUCGUUCAGAGAGGGGCCCGCGUACCAUUAGCUAGUUGGUAGGGUAAUGGCCUACCAAGGCGAGGAUGGUUAGCUGGUCUGAGAGGAUGACCAGCCACACUGGCACUGAAACACGGGCCAGACUCCUACGGGAGGCAGCAGUGAGGAAUUUUGCGCAAUAGGGGAAACCCUGACGCAGCAACGCCGCGUGAGUGAAGAAGGCCCUCGGGUCGUAAAGCUCUGUCAAGUGGGAAAAAAGCUUGCUGGUGAAUAGCCAGUAAGACUGAUGGUACCAUUGAAGGAAGCACCGGCUAACUCCGUGCCAGCAGCCGCGGUAAUACGGAGGGUGCAAGCGUUGUUCGGAAUUACUGGGCGUAAAGGGCGUGUAGGCGGUGUGGUAUGUCAGAUGUGAAAGCCCUGGGCUUAACCCAGGAAGUGCAUUUGAAACUGCCAUGCUUGAGUAUGGGAGAGGAGAGUGGAAUUCCCAGUGUAGAGGUGAAAUUCGUAGAUAUUGGGAGGAACACCCGUGGCGAAGGCGACUCUCUGGACCAAUACUGACGCUGAGGCGCGAAAGCGUGGGGAGCAAACAGGAUUAGAUACCCUGGUAGUCCACGCCGUAAACGAUGAGCACUAGGUGUAGCGGGUAUUGACCCCUGCUGUGCCGUAGCUAACGCAUUAAGUGCUCCGCCUGGGGAGUACGACCGCAAGGCUAAAACUCAAAGGAAUUGACGG
rnacentral:rRNA from 1 species